rnacentral:pre_miRNA from 1 species
UGAUGAUGAUUAUUAUUAUGAUGAUGAUGAUGAUGAUGAUGAUGAUCAUCAUCAUCAUCGUCAUCAUCAUCAUCCUCGUCAUCGUCAUCAUCGUCA